rfam:Aedes aegypti strain Liverpool supercont1.18 genomic scaffold, whole genome shotgun sequence.
AAAACGGCUCUUUUCAGAGCCACCAAAUAAAACGGCUCUUUUCAG